ACGACGCAAGUUUCAUUUUAAAGUACUUCAACAUGCCAAAAUUAGGCUGACACUUUUCACGAAAAACACAUAAAUAUUAACUUUCCAUCUAUUGAGAGCAACAAAAUCCCUAGUAUGCUAUUUUUAUCAGAAAUUCACGGAGCGUUGUGCCCUAUACAACCGUGAAAAUGGCAUUGAAAUCCAACGCCGGAGUACGCCAUAAAGUUGUUUGAAGAACCUCCUCUCGCAAAGGACAUGAAGUUUCCAGAUUUCCUGUCUUCCAGAUGCGGGUUGUCUACUUAAAUGAAGUAGGCGUUGUGGCUAGGGAUGCUGAAGGUCAGCUUGUAGGAUGCAGAGGCAUGAUGAUCCAAGCUGGGUCUGCGGAGGAAGCUGAGGAACGGGUUGAUGCUCGCGAAGCAGAAAUGAUGGGCUAAAGUGCACAUAGAGAUGGAUGCUGAAGUUGUUUUUACAGACAUCCAUCAAUUUCCCCAUGUCCUACAACUGGGAGCAUAAAAAAUAUCCCGUCACCAGAUUUAUGCUGAGAAGAAUUUGUUUCAUUCCAUUGUAGACGGCUCCUUAGGGAGGUUUAUGCAUGUGCUAACAGGGUUGCAGUGCAUACUAGGAAGAAGGCUGCGCAAUCAAUACUGGGAUCUUGGUCCCCCAUCCUCUUUGCUCUUGUUAUUUACUUCUGUUGUAACUUGGUUCUCAUCUGUUUUAAAUGAAGGAGUUAUGAAUUGUUUGUU